GCCAGAAGUUUGCAUUCUGCGCUGUCGUAGUCGGCGAGUCUGAGCUCCUCCCCAAAUCAGGCUUCGACAGCGAUAUGCAGUUGCACAUAACGAUGUUCACGGAUGUAGUUUCUUCAGGCAUCGGAGCAAACGGCUGAAACACCACAGAAGAUGAGAUGAAUGAUCGUCCAAGGCAAAAUGUGUGAGCUCCACAAGCUCUCCAUUCAAUUUAUAUGCUAUGAAGAGUAGUGUUGGCGCUGCGCUGUUACUGAUCAGCGCUGCGCUGGGGAGAUCAGCUCGGUGGCGCUGGUGAACACGUCCUCUCUGCGCUGUCGAGUCGGUCGCGGAGCUCGGUCCAUUGAGCCGCGCCUGUGACCGGUCAGCGCUGCGCGAACACUUUAAUACCGCACUGUUUAUCCUACAUUAGCCGUUUGCUCCGAUGCCUGAAGAAACUACAUCCGUAACCAUCGUUAUGUACAGCUGCAGGAGGAGCUCAGACUCGCCGACUACGACAGCGCAGAGUGCAAACUUCUGGCAGCCGAUGUUGCAAUGUGUUUGGCAGUUCCUGUGGGAGCGCAUCAUACCCAGAUUCAUCUGAGGAACAACGACGUCGCUACCAGACUUCGACCGACAAUGCUACAGCUCCGAUACCGAAGAAACCCCGAGCCAACGACACUCUGCGGACUCGAGUCACUUCGGACAUGGCGCAUAUUUCACCCGCCUAUCGACUAUUCUCCAAACACCGAGAUGCCUUUCCCAGUUCUCCAGAUGGACUUUCUCUGAGGCAUCUAAUCUUCGAUUUCUUCAUACAUUUUCAACAUAAUUAGUUCCACAUUCACUAUUGUGUGGUAUUUUCCCGCUCAUUAUGUAUUUUUCUGUUUAUGUGGAUUUAGGCAGACCUCAUUGACCUCAUUGUAUAAGUGUAACAUCUUGAAUAAAACAAAUGAAAACUGA